rnacentral:rRNA from 1 species
AAGUGUUCGGAUUGCGGCGACGUGGGCGGUUCGCUGCCCGCGACGUUGUGAGAAGUCCACUGAACCUUAUCAUUUAGAGGAAGGAGAAGUCGUAACAAGGUUUUCCGUAGGUGAACCUGCGGAAGGAUCAUUG